rnacentral:rRNA from 1 species
GACGAACGCUGGCGGCGUGCUUAACACAUGCAAGUCGAACGAAGAGCGAUGGAAUCUUGCUUCUAUCAAUCUUAGUGGCGAACGGGUGAGUAACGCGUAAUCAACCUGCCCUUCAGAGGGGGACAACAGUUGGAAACGACUGCUAAUACCGCAUACGAUCUAACCUCGGCAUCGUGGAAAGAUGAAAGGUGGCCUCUAUGUAUAAGCUAUCACUGAAGGAGGGGAUUGCGUCUGAUUAGCUAGUUGGAGGGGUAACGGCCCACCAAGGCGAUGAUCAGUAGCCGGUCUGAGAGGAUGAACGGCCACAUUGGGACUGAGACACGGCCCAGACCCCUACGGGAGGCAGCAGUGGGGAGUCUUCCGCAAUGGACGAAAGGCUGACGGAGCAACGCCGCGUGAGUGAUGACGGCCUUCGGGUUGUAAAGCUCUGUUAAUCGGGACGAAAGGCCUUCUUGCGAAUAGUGAGAAGGAUUGACGGUACCGGAAUAGAAAGCCACGGCUAACUACGUG